rnacentral:misc_RNA from 1 species
GUUUUAAUUUUGUAUACUUUUGUCUUCUGUGUAAUUCUGCUGUGCUUUGUUUGUUUUGAGAUUUUUUUUUUCUUGGGAGUAGCAUUUGCUGUAACUUCAACUGAGUAAACAUACCAACUUAAGAAAGAAAAAGAAAAACAUAAAGAGAGAGAGAAAGUCCUAGGGCAUUGAACAAGAUAUAAUAUUUCACUGUUUUUUUUAAUCAUUUGAAGUAAUUUUAAUUUUGUAGAUAACCAUUAAGAUAAUCCACACUGUUGUCAAAUGUGCAGCUUUGUAAAAUUAAAUUAAAUGUACUCUCGAGUUAAUCACAUUGAAGCAGAAAUCACUGCAAUGCAUAUGUUGUUUUGCUAUCUUAUUUGUGGAAGCCUGGAUCUUUUCCUUUAUCACUCUGUUAAAUGCAACAACUGGAUUUUGUUACUUUCUGUAUCAUGUACCCUAUUAUAAAUUUGAUGAGCUGAGUUUCCAGUGUAUUGAUACUUCAAUAUCAUGUGCCCUAAUAUUGGUAUCUCUAAUCCCUGAUGCUGUUUGUGUAUUGAUACUUCAAUAUUCUUCUUUUCACUGUGCGCACAGUUUUUAUUACUUGUCUUUCUGUAAUCGCUAUGAGUUGUCCACUCACUUGAGCUUAGGGAACAAAAAAUUCAACUUCAAAUGCAUUAUCCUUUUGAUAAGCUAAACUGAUUCUUUGUAAAAUUUUGGAAUCUUGUGUUGUUGAUAUCUAAAUGUGUCUUCUUUUCUAGGGUAAAAUAGAGAUGAUAUUUCUCUCAUUUCCUGAAAUAGGAACCGAGCCAUCAUAAAGCAAUUAAUUUAUGCCCAGAAAAGCAUUAUUUUCUAAAAUUUAUGAGCAUUAUGAAAUUUGUGGCUAAAUGGGUUCAGGCUUGUAACUUGCACUUGCUAUUUCUGUUGAGAUUAUUUAUUGUAUUUUGAAUUGGAUAUCUGGACUCUAGUUGUCAGUGAAAACGAUAACAUGUGAAUUUUCCUCUUAAAUGAUGAAGUCUAAGUCUGGAAGGGCAUUUAUUAAUGCAUUUUCUGUUGUUUUAGUUGUGAGAUUUCCUCUCUUUGGAUUGAGUUAAAUGAUAUCAAGUGUGCUAAAUAUGAAUAUCCUUUUUGAAGCAUUUCUUUGUUGCAUUUUAAACAGUAACAUGGUAUGUUUUGCUUGAAACAAACUUUCUUAGUUCUGGUUUUAGGUGAUGGUAUGUUAUUUUAAUGCAAGACUAUCUAUAUGUAUUGCAUAUUAAGUUAUAUCCUUAUAUAUAAAUCUGCCUGAGAACAUUUUGGGAAAAACCCAUUGACACCUUGUACUUUCAAAUUUCAAUUGAACCUAUUACCUGCCUGUUGUUUUAUUUUUGUAAUAUAUAGACCCUUAUGGUUCAUAUGUAUAGCGUGUAAUUAUGCUCAUGCCGAUGUGGAAAGAAAAUCUGACAGUUCUAUUUGACUCUUGAUUUGUUUACUUUUUCACUUAUUUUCUACCAUCUCACUUCAACAUGCUGCCCAGGGUAGGAUGACCCAAAAGAAAAUCUCAAUUCUUGUUUUAGAGCAAGAACAAUGGCAAAUCCAAACUCCAGAGCAAGAUUAGCAUUCUUUGUCAACAUGGAACAUGAACAUCUCUUGUCUGGCCAAGAGAAGGAAAAAUAAAAAUAAAAAUUAUUUAGAUUGAAUUCCUGCUAGCACAGAUGAAGAACACGUAAUUAGAUUUUUAUUUUAUGGUAAUAUUAAUUUUUGGGUUUCCCUCUUUUCAGUUUUUUCUUGUUUCUACUAUAAAUUUUCAUGAAAGAAGGGGACAAAUAAGGAUUUAAUUAAAUGCCUUCCCUUUACCUGUUACUAUUACUCCUUCACCUUCUCCUACUCUCUCAUCUUUCUGCAAUGAGACCUACAGUACAGCAAAUAAACGGUCUCCGCAAUCAGAUUUCUAGGUAACACAAUUCUUAUGGGUGUAAAUUAACCAACAAAAGUAAUCCACAAAAUAUCUCUCUAGGUCACUUAAUACCAUCAGAGCAAGCUAAACCUGGUGGUUGCUUCCACCUCCGAUCGGUUUGAUUUGGUUGAUUAGGCAAUUGAGAACCAAAAUGACCCAUUUCUCUCCCUCUUCCUCUUGACUGUUUUUGUAUAGUGAAGGUGCAUUGGUAUUUCAUUCUGAAUAAAACCCAAAAUCUUUUGAUCAUAGAAAAGAAAGAAUGAGUAAGAAACUUAAAAGAGUAAAAAGAAUGAGAGAUCGAGGGAGAAAGAGCAAGACCUCUUGUAGUUUUUUAUUCACUAAAAUGCCUGUAAGAAUUUUUUUAACCGCUGUGUAUUGAGAUGCUCUGAUCUAGUGGCAUCAGCAAUAAGGAUCUAAUUGUUUUGAAAAUAAAACUAUAAUGGAGUAAUAGAUGUAGAGGUUUAGUAGGUUUUCACAGCAUGUUUAACGGAAAAUUACGUACUAGACCUUUAAGUGAUUCUGCAGACUUUUGAAUCAAGAUUAAUUUUUCUUCCUUGCCUUUUCUUUUUUUAUUUUUUUUAAUUUAUUUUCUGCCUUUUUUUAUUAUUACUCUUGUCAUCUUGCUUGUUUGGAUGAUAGUGGUUUUGAGUUAAUGGAAACUUUAUUCAUCAUUUUUGUGUUGAUGAAAAUAUUUUGUUGUUAUUCCUUUGAUUUGGAUGAUUGUUUGAAAUCGG